CUCUCUGCCCCCGCCUCCCCUCUCUUUUCUCCCCCGCAUCUUUUUCCUCAUCCGGCAAAGAACGGAAGCACUCGAUGGAGAGGAUCGUCCAUCCUCGCGCCUGUCUCUGUUGUCCCCUCUUCCUCCAUCUCCCUGCGUCAGCCAACCCUCCCCUGUCCCUGUUCAUCAUGCCACCGGCCGGCAGGAGAGAAAAGCAGCAGAGCAGAUCGCCUCCCGAUUCCUCCUCCUCCUCCUUCAAAUACCAGUUCCAUUUCUUGCUUUCUUCCAACCAAAACCUCUCCUCUCCUCUCCUCCGCCUGAGCAGAGCCAUGACCUUCUUCGUGUACUCCAAGGGAUCCAAGGUCGGUCUGGGCUACGAGGCGGAGUCCGCCGGCGAGAUGGCGGCGAUGGCGGUGGGAGCCGUCGCCGUCCUCCGCUACCUCGACGGCGGGGCCCGCCAGCAGGACGCCUCCAACGAGGGGGCAAACGCCUGGUGGAGGAUGCUCGCCGCGGCCGUCGCCGGCUCGCGGCACGCCAACAUCGUCAUCGUCGUUUGUUUUUCAGUUUCGUUCGUUGAGUAGUAGUAGCAGGAGCAGCAGAAAGAAAGAAGAGAGAAUGUAUCCGAUGAGGAGAGGAGUACUAGUGCUGUAUUACGGUGUAUUUGUUUCUCUAGUCCUAGGAUUUGUUUCUCUAGCUCUAGGACUUUUUCUAGUCCCUGAGACUUUUUGAAAAAGACUUUUAAGGAGGUGCUUUUAAGGACUUUUAGCAAAAAGUUUCAAAAAAGUUCCACCCUGUUUGGUUUGCUAGGGACUUUUUCUAGUUUCUACACCAAAAAGUCCCUGGAAAUAAACACCCCCUACAUAUGACUAUAAGGAAUAAAUGGAUGAUGAUUUGGGUGCCUGCCUCUCUUGUCGUUUCUUUUGGUCUCUCUCUCUCUUCUUCACGCGGCGGCCGAGUUUUUCAGGCGACAACGUUUGCCGCCGGCCAACUCCGAUCCUCUUCGCCGACUCAUUCAUCCACCCUCCAACGUCCGUCCAUGCUCACCCUGCCCGUCCAACGGCCGAAACCCUAACCAACCUUCCUCCCCCCUACACGAUGCGUACGAUCCCAAGUUUCUGCCUGUAGAAAUCGCUGUUUCUGAAUGUUUUAAUUUUCAUGUACCCAGUAAUAUGUGUGAUCUUGCUGCCUUAUGGUGUGUUGCCACCGCUUGAUGCCUAUGGACAAUGCGUAAUGAUCUCUGUUUCCAGGGUGUGGUGUGGACAAGUACUCGGGUUAUCCUGGGCAGGGUAUGUGCGCUGAUUCACCAAUGGAAGAUAUUCUGUGCGGACGCUCAAUCUGCUCUACUUCAGCGCUGUCUCCUGCCGCUGGACCGGCGAAGAGGAGAGCUGCUACGAAUCGCCUGGAGAUGAAGACGUGGGCUGGAGCAGGGAACGGUCCAGGUGGCUUUCCGCACAGAGCUCAUUCCGGCUCAAGGCCUAAAAAAUUAAUGUAUUAUUAAACUUUAUUAUUGUGGCACUAGUGUACAAGUGAACGAAUGCCUGCUUCAGUGGUAUUUUAGCAUGGAAGUUCGUGGCAAUGGACAAGAACCUGAGUCGGAAAUUGUCCAGGCCUGUACAAGUGAGGCAUGACUUAACUGAAGCGCUGAAGAAGCUUCAGUGCCAGACGCUGAGUUUUGUGGGAGAGAACUCACGGUUCCAUGCCGGCGCUGUCCUCAGAACCACAGAACUAGAUUGGAGAUGCUUUGCUCUAGUCGAGCAGGUUCAGGGCGAAGGAGCAGGGGGCUCCUUUCAGUUUACACAAAGCACAGCUACUGCUACAGGCCGAUGACACCUGUUUCAAGCAUUUUGCCAUUCUGUUUUGUGCAGGGACAACCAGUCCAGCUUCCCGAGAUCCCCCCUUCUCUUCCACGUACGCAAUCCCUCCGGCACAAACGAGCUCUUAGCCAAAAAAAAGGGCCAGGGUAGAUUGGGACUAUAAGAAACAGUGUGCCAAUUUCAGGGAUUUCAAGAUCAAGGUUCAGUGCAGACUCCAAGUGUGAAUUUAAGGUUUACUUUAGACUUUUCUCUCAGGAAAAUCAUACUAGGUCUAUCUGUUCUGUUGUUGUAACAUUCAGAAGAAAAGUUUGGUGCUGAGCUCAGUCUAAAAGGAGACUAAACCAAUAGAAACAAGGCUUUGUGUAAUACAUAUACUUGCGCCGAGUAUUAAACAACAU